AUUGAACGCUGGCGGCGUGCCUAAUACAUGCAAGUCGAACGGACAUACGAAACACUUUCUCCUCUCACGUUAGCGUCGCACGCGUGAGUAACACGUUUAUAACCUUCCUUUAAGACUGGGAUUACUUCCUGAAAACGGUACCAAUUCCUGCUUAUCUUUUCAAGCCCAUGGUGCAAUAGUUUCAGGCCUCUUUUCUUUCACUUUUCGCUGAUUCCAGAUGGGAUUAGCUAGUAGGUGGGGUAACGGCUCACCUAGGCGACGAUCCCUAGCUGGUCUGAGAGGAUGACCAGCCACACUGGAACUGAGACACGGUCCAGACUCCUACGGGAGGCAGCAGUGGGGAAUAUUGCACGAUGGGCGCAAGCCUGAUGCAGCCAUGCCGCGUGUAUGAAGAAGGCCUUCGGGUUGUAAAGUACUUUCAGCGGGGAGGAAGGGAGUAAAGUUAAUACCUGUACUCAUUGACGUUACCCGCAGAAGAAGCACCGGCUAACUCCGUG
rnacentral:rRNA from 1 species